GCAAGGUAGGCGGACCUGCGACCCACUGGCAGUACAGCCCCAGAGGCCUGCAGAGGGGCAGUGCCGCUGCCUGCGCCUGCAAAGUAGACAGAACUGUGACCACCGACAGAACAAGCCUAGCGGCCCGCAGAGGGACAGAGCCGCCGCCCGCGCCUGCGAGGGAGACUUUGCAACUAUACAAGACCAAUAUAAAUAUAUAGGGGGAAAAUUCAAUAGCACAACAGUUUCACCAAGUAGAAAGGAACGCGAACAGUAUGAAGAGACANGAAAUGUCACUGUUAAAGAUUGGUACAAAGUGCAAAGUACAUCUCUACCCUGCUGCCAGUAACUUGUCCCCAGUGGAGCUACUGUUAAUUUGUUUCCAAAAAGAAAAAGUAUGUUUCCCAGCUUGUGUGUGUAUGUGUGUGUGUUUUGGCCUUAUAACAUCUGUUUACACUUGUUUUGGUAACUGCUCACAUUUCCCUCUAAUGAACCACACCUUCUGCCUUCUUAGUUCUCAGUGGUGGAGACACAGUUGUCCUGCAGUCACUUAACCUCCAGGUCAUUCCCCCUGCCGCUUUCCCCAAACCUGUGUGAUCUAAGCCUUGGCAUUAGUCCCAGUCAGAGUUAAUCCCAAUCGAGUUUGCUUGAGUACCCUCAGGAAAAUUUGUUUUUCACUCAUUUGAAGUUAAGAUGUGAGACUGGAGCAGCUGCAGCCCUCUUGAUAUUUGAGUAUAGAGUCAGCAUAGUCAUCCUGCAGAGGUGGACACAGAGCCAUACCCUAUUAUCUAAGUUUCUAACUCCAGCCAGGUCUGAAACAAUCCCUUUCCCUAGUUUUUGUUUUUUUUUUUUUUUUCCUGUUUUUACUUAGGACAGUUUGUUAGAUUUUUAUAAUAUGUAGCCAUAAUGGUCCAUAUGUUGAUAAGACAGUUACUUUAAUUGAAAAAGGGUGAACAGAGGCUUCACACUGCCCUCCACACAGAAGCCUUUUCAAUCAGAAUGUACAGCUGUAUCCCACUGCUUCCCAUGCUGUGUACAAAAGCCACUUCUGCCAGGUUUAUUAAGCAUGACUUAUACGCAGACAAUACUAGGUGCCAAGGACAGGGUAGGCACAGCCCCUGCUAUCAUGGAACUCAGUAAUUUGCUAGAUUAAAACGAAUAUUAAUAAUAGACAAAGUAAAAUGGUAACUGCUGGAAGUAUGAAGUAAAAGAGUGCUAAGAGCAAGAUGGGCACAUUUUACUUUGUUGGGAUGGUCAGAGAGGCCCUGCUGAGGGCAGGAGAAAGAAAAGAGGAAAAUAGGCAGAAGAAUCUGCCUUGUGUCCAGAAGUAGCAGAAAAGGGGACUUUAGAAACAUCAGAGGUUGGGACAUAGUGCAGGAUUGGGCUUGAGGAGUAAGGGGCACACAGUGUCCUCUAGGAAUUUGGGAUGCCCUGAAGGAUUUUAUGCAGUUUGUACUGAGUGCACUGAUUAGAAGAGGCACCAAUGGGAAUAAGGCAUAAGUUAGGCAUUUUAGUAGUUCAAGGCAUAGUCUGUAGUGGCUCAAGUAAGCAGGGUGUUAGUGAGGUGUGAUCACCACUCACCUGCACAGUUCCUGCUGAGGGACACUCAGAUUUUCAGUGUCUGGCUAGUAUAGUCAAUACUGUGGUGAACUUUUUUUUUUUUUUUUUUUAAGUACAGGGGAUUGGACUUUGGGCACUCAACCACCGAGCCACAUCCCCAGCCCUAUUUUGUAUUAUAUUUCUAGACAGGGUCUCACUGAGUUGCUUGGUGCUUUGCUGUUACUGAGGCUGGCUUUGAACGAGGUUGUCCUGUCUCAGCCUCCCGAGUCUCUGGAAUUACAGGUGUGUGUCACUGCUCCUUAUAUGUGGUGAACAUUUUUGUGUACAAUAUUUUUGUGAACUUUUGUUUAUAUCUGAAAAGUAAAUUCCUAACGGUGGAAUAAUCAAACCAAACAAAAUUUUAGCAUUUUGGGUAUAUGUUGCCAAACUGCUUUCCCAAGUGGUUUUGUCAGUAUAGUCUCACCAGUAGUAGAUCUGCCCUUGCCAGCUCUGGACAUCACAUCCAAACAAUUUUAUAAGUUUAAAAACCAUGUUUUGUCUAUUCUCUAGCCACCAUACGGGAGAGGCACCAUUCUGAGUCCACAGGUCAAUACCCUGGAGCCACCUGUUUCAGCCCCAGCUGUGUGAGUCUUUCCAGUGUAAGCACAGACAUGAGUGAAAUUUCAAUAUUUUAAGCCCCAGUCUUCCCCAGCUAACACCCAGGGGGAGCAAGAUGAACUGUCCUGCAAAGCUUUAACCAGUCUGCAGAAUGAAGAACAAAGAAAGUUGCUUUUUAUGGAAGUGGGGUACUGGGGAUUGAACCCAGGAGUGCUCUGCCACUGAGCUACAUCCCCUGCCCUUUUUUAUUUUGAGAUAAGGUCUUGCUAAGUUUCCAAAGCUGAUCUCAAACUUGCAGUCCUCCUGCCUUAGCUGCCAGAGUUGCUGGGAUCCAGGCGUGCACCACUGCACAUAGCAAAACCGUCAUGUUUUUAACAAGUUGUCUUCCUCUUCAUGUUGUAAUAUCUGUUGAUAGAAUACAUUUGGAUGAUAUCUUUAGAAUAACAACCAGGAACAUGACAAUUUGUUACAGUGUACAUAUCCUUCCAUCUUUCUUCAUCCUCAGGCCGUCUGGUUUUUGAUGUUUAUACUGUAGUGUUUAAUAUAUUUGAUAGUUUCCUUUAUAAUGUCAAAUGUCUUUUUCUUUCUUUAAUAUAUAUUUUAAAUAUAUAUUAAUUUAUAUAUUAAAUAUAGUUAAUAUAUAUAUUAACUACUAGUCAAGGUGAGGGAAUUCAUGAACUUCCUCCUGUCUCCCUGGUUUUUGUUUAACAGUGUUACUUGUACACUGAUGAGGUCUAUAUCUUGUCACCUUCUGUAACCAUUAUGUCCAUCUUUAUUCUUUGAAGAACAAUGUGGAGAGUUUCACAUUUCUGGGUUUUGCUUUUUUCGCCAGCACUUCAGACACUGUUCCAUUGGAGAGGUCUGAGGCCACCCUUGUCUUUCCUCUUUCUAUCAGAUUCUGGAAAUUUCUCUGCUUUCUUAAAAUUCAGUAAUUUUGCUAGGAAUUACCUUCAUGUCAAUUUUUCUGAAUUAUUUCUUUUAAUCCUCCCAGAACAUGAUAGAUCAGUUCUAAUUGAUUCAACUAUUUUUUUUCUUUCUCAUUAGUUUGAAAAGAUGUAUUUUCUAUUAUUAGUUUUAGUUUUGUGUUGGCAUUUUGGGUACCAAUUUGUUUACUUAACUCUGAAAUGAUUUUUUUUCCAAAUCCCAUUUAAUUUUUGACUCAUCUUUGAGCUAGUUUUUUUUUUUUUUUUGUAAUUCAAGUUUUUGUUCUAUAAUUAAAAAAUGACUUUGAUUUAUGUAUUUUUGCCACAAGAGACUAUUUAUUUAUAUAUGCAUCCUAUAUUCUUUUGUUGUUGCUUUCUAGUUCCAAAAUGCUUGGCUAGAUGCCACAUCUUUUUUUUUUUUUUUUUCCUCUGUUACUGCUUAGUAGGCAUGACUUUUCUCAGAGCUUGAUCCACAUAGGUGUUUUUGUUGAGUGCUCCGUGACUCUCCUCCCUCCUUCUCUGAGCAUUGUUUCCUUUCCUGGGUGCUGAACGUUGCUUUCUCAUAACUGAACAAGAAAGAGAGAGGAGUUCAGACCGGAUGCUGUGAGAGAUAGUAUAGUCUUUAGCCUCCUAUACCUUGAGAAGUUAUAGCCUCUUGCCUCCUAUACUUUUAGAAUGCAUUCAGGUUCUUUCUCCAUGUUGGGGAGGGAGCAGUAACUGAUCCCAAGAACGUUGAUUGCCAAGAUUUUAGAAAGUGCCAACCCAACUUCUACCUUGGAUCCUUCUUAAAUCCUUCACUCCCCUCACAGAGGGGAAGGCUGGGGUGUUUUUUGCUUCACUCAUCUCUCUGUAGUAAGCAUCUCUACUUUUGCCAUGCAGAAUGUGGCUUGCAUCAGGGCAGACUUGGGUGUGGGAAGCACAGCACUUGCCACAGUCUUUUUUCCCAGUGGUACUAGGGAUUGAACCCAGGACCUCAAGCAUGCUGGGCAAGUGCUCAACUACUAAGCCACAUCCUUAGCCCUUUUUAUUUUAUUUUAUUUUGAUACAGGGUCUCACUAAGUUGCCCAGUUUGGCCUUGAACUUGGGAUCCUCUUGUAUCAGCUGGGAUUAAAAGCAUGCACCACACCUGGCACCUUAGGCACACAACUUAAGGGUCACAAAACUCAGUAAUCAAGACAAAUAAUAUUUUAAUGCAAUAUUUUAAAAAUCAAAAAACAUAAUGAACAGAAGAUGAGCAUUUUAAAUAAAGACCAAAUCCAACAAACUGGAUUUAGGGUGAGGCUGUGAGAAGAGGCAAGGAGGGACAGGGUUGAUCUAUCCUAAACCAGUAAUCUUUGGUUGAUUCUUAGGUUUUUAUGUUUAAAACUUUGAAUUCCAUCCAGAUGCAGUGGCACAUGCCAACAAUUUGGGAGGCUGAGGCAGGAGGAUGACAAGUUUUUUUGUUUUGUUUUGUUUGGGGGGGGGGGGUACCAGGGAUUGAACUCAGGAGCACUAGACUAUUAAGCCACAGCCCCUGCCCUAUUUUUGUAUUUUAUUUAGAGACAGGGUCUCACUGAGUUGCUUAGCACCUUGCUUUUGCUGAGGCUAGCUUUGAACUUGCAAUCUUCCUGCCUCAGCCUCCCAACUGCUGGGAUUACAGGAGUGGACCACUGUGCCCACCAGAUGGCAAGUUUUGAGGCCAGCCUCAAAAAAAAAAACACCAAUGUUUUAAUUCUACUCCAGUAUUGCCAGCAACUCUUAGGACACUGAGACAGGAGGAUCACAAGCACAGCCUGGGCAGCUUAGCAAGACACUGUAUCAAAAAAAAAAAAAAAAAAAAAAUAUAUAUAUAUAUAUAUAUAUAUAUAUAUACACACACACACACACACACACACAUACAUACAUGCCAGGUGCAAUGGUGCACACCAGUAAUCCCAGCAGCUCAGGAGGCUGAGAUAGGAAAAUGGUAAAGUCAAAGCCAGCCUCAGCAAAAGCAAGGCACUAAGCAACUCAGUGAGACCCUAUCUCUAAAUAAAAUACAAAAUAGGGCUGGGGAUGUGACUCAGUUAUACAGCAUUAAUGAGUUAAAUCCCCAGUACUACAAAAAUAAAAAUAAAAGUUGAAGUUCCCUGAAUUCCCAGGUUCUUACUUUUAGGAUAAAAGCUGAAAUCUUGAUUUUUAUUAAAUUAGCACCAUCACAGUAAUGUUAAAAGUUUUCUUGAAAAAAGAACAAAUUCCCUCUACUAAUGCACCGUCCUAGCUACUCAUACAGUUUUUAUUUCACCAGAUUUCCUUUCAGACCAUUGACUGAAGUGCAGCAUUCACGUCCUAGUAGAAAUAGCUUAAGGAUUGUUGAAAGACUGGCAGUGAGAGGGCUCUGGCUAAAGGUUUUAAGGAGGGGUCAUAGCCUUUCCAGUGCUUCACAAUGUGUGUGCUUUUUAAAAAAAAAAAAAAAAUCAGAUAUAAAGAUUAACUUGGCUGUGAAAUCUGAUGGCAAAUGCUUUCCCAUGGCAAAGCUGUGAGUUGUCUUGAGACGUGUUGGGGAGGCCAGAGCUCAGAGCCAGUGUCCUUUCCAGCAUAAAGGUCCAGCUCACCUAAACUUGUCACAGAACCCUGUAGGAUUGAAGCUGAGAGAAAUCCCCUCCUUGACCAGAUUCUGUUCAGGCUCCUUUAAGCCCACCAGCCCCCAACCUUCAGUCUGUCUUUGGCUAGGUUAGCUUUAGCAAGAAUGCUGUCAAGUCAAUUUAUCAAGAACUUGAUCUCUGAUUAAGUAUUCUACCCGCCUGGUGAUGUCUGAUCAUCCUGGCCUGCCUUCUGCAAGAAUCCUGUAAAAUUUGUUUAUCCAGAAUCCCUGUCAUCCCUGAUGUUUCCUCUUAGUCAUUUUUCAUCCACUGACCCCACCCUUGGCUAUCAAUUCCUACUGUCCCUGCAGUAUUUGGAAUUGAGCCCAGUUCUGCACUGAGGUAUCUUUUCCUUUAUUGCACUCAUUACUGAUUAAAAACCCAUUUUUGUGACUAACUACUGUCAGACUCUGGUUUUCUUUGACAAAAUCUCUGAAAGAAAAAGUUCCAAAGAACAGCUGAGUUGGCUAUACAAGAAGUUGGAGCUGGGGAGGAGAGAAGUUGAUGGUAAUCAUAACAGUGCACAUGUUUUAGACUUCAGUGUUUACACAUGCUUGCCUUCAUCUACUGCAAGUGAGCCUCACACCUGCCCUGCAGUGGAAGUGUUGGUACCUCUAGUUCUCGGAUCUGAAAGGGGAGGGGACUUGAUUGUGACCCCACAGCCAGAGAAUGUUCGUAAGAUCCCUAUCAAGUGAAGUGGAGUUUUGAGUUCUCUCUAUAAUCCAAAAAAACAAGGCACAGCUUGGGAAGGUGACUUGGUUACAAUCCUUCUCCAAAGCCAUCACUCAGUGUUCAUUUUCUUCCCAUAAAGGCAAGUCAAUUUGAAAAUUAAGGGAUGUUCCCACUAGAGGGCAGCAGAGACCCACAGUGCUGCUUGGCUUUCCCAUCACUGCUGAUUUCUCCACUGCUCCUUGGGUGAGAAUUCUUCAGCUAUUAUUUUAAUUAACAUGUUGCUCAAAUGCAUUGGCAAAAUAUAUGAAUAUCUGUCUACACCUCUAUCACUGAAUUUCUUUGAAGCCUAAAGUCUUAUCUAAUCCUGUGUGUUAUUCAAACAUAUUCCAUCCACACAGCAACCCUGUAAUCGAUACUGUAUUAUCAUCUCUGUUUUACACACAGGGAAACCAAGGUUCAGAGAAGUUAAGUAUUUUUCCCAAAGUCCCACUGUAAGGAAGUGACAGAACCAGAGUUUAAACCAGGUAGUCCAGCUCCAAAGUUUAUACCUCCCACACCCCUGCCCAUCUCCCGAGUGCCUUGGAAGAGAGCAGCUUACAUCCUGUGGACCUCUUUGCAAGAACCACCUGCCCGGUGGCAUGAGAACUCCCCAGUUAAGGUCUGAAUGCCAAUAAAUUCCAGGAAUUGUUUGGGUCAUAGGGAUAAAGAUGAGCAGGGGAGGCAAGUUCCUAUCCUCCUUACAUUUACUGACUAUGCAUUAGAAGACCCUCAGUGUCAUUCACUGUGUAAUGCACCUACUUUGUCAGGCACUAGACACCCUUACCUAACUGUGCACGUUACUACUGUACAUAGGUCUCCACAUCCUUCCUUUCCUUGCUAUAAACCCCACAAGGUUGGUGUCAGUUAACAUAUAAUAUGAAGCCCAUGAGAGCAGUUCUGGGGCUUUAUUCACUGUAUCAUCCUGGGCAAGUUACUUAAGUGCCUAGGACUGUAGGCACUAAAAGAAUUUUCCACCUUAUAGAGGUGUAUGAUGUGAAGCACUUAUUAUUGUCAUGUAUUACUUAUAAUUUUGUGUGUGUGUUUUAUGUUGCAGAUGAAUAAACAGACUCAGGUUAAGCCUUGUCAAGGUCAGAGCUAGGCAGAGGCAGGUUGGUGUCCCCUCUGGGCUAUUCUCUGGAGUGGCAGUAUUCUUUUUAUUGUAGCACAACACCCCCAAGGUCGGGGCUGGGAUGGAAGUCUACAUGGGCCAGAGAUUUUCCAGAAUAACAGCCACCUGCCCAGCAUAGUGCAUAUAAAAACAGACCUGGCCACUUCCUUUUGGACAUAAAUACCUGCCAUUCCCAAUUCUACCACUGAUGUGCUCUACCCUCAAGUGCUUGCAUGACUGGGGACAUCCCUGUCAGGGGAGACAGCCUUAUCCUGACAGGCAGACCAUGGAGCAGGGUUGCCAGCAUCCAGGAUGGGUUGCAGGAGUCUGCAGACUGUGUUGUUUGCUGAGACAAUGAAAUUUCCGGUGGGCAGAUUUCAAGAGGUCCCACCCAAGUGUCAAAAGCAAGAAACUGGAUAGCCCUUUCCACUUGGUCCAGUGUGGGGAAAUCUGAGUUUGUUGCCAGGACCUCUUGGCAAAUUCUCCAUAGGCCUUGUUGAGUCCACUUAAAGCUGAACUUUCUGUCAAACUCAGAGUCAAUAGCCCAGGAGGAGUUUGAAGUCUUAGCACAUAAUUCCUGGCAAAUUUAAAGCAAGAUGUUUUUCUGAAGAAUUGUGCUGAAGUUUCCAAGAUGGAGUUUCAGAGCCAAUGACUGGACCCUAAGUGGGGUAGUACUGAGCAAGGAGGUCUAUAGCUGGUGGAAUGUCAGGAAUCCCAGGACAUCUGGUCUGUUUUGCAUCUGCUGCUUCAACCAGUCUGCAUUCUUCCUGUGGGGAGUGAGGGCUCCAGUGAUGGGCCUGGAAACAGGAGACCUCUUUGAUCCUUGUCUCCCACCUCUGCCUGAAGUAGGAUGACUUUGAGUGCUAUACUUCAUGUUCUGGAGCCUUCCCUUUCCAUAAACAAGGGUGACAAGUGCUACCAGACCUGGAAUUCACAUCUUGGAAGAAACAGGGCAAGAGGGACCCAUACUCCAAUACAAAGGAAGGCCCUGAUUUCCCUGAGACAGAACCUUCCUUGCAAAUCUCCUGAGAUCUUUGUUCUGUUAGAACUCCUGCAUGGUAAGGAUUGAGUUUUGGGUCUUUGGUUCCAACCUCUUACAUAUUUCAAUUUAUUACCCCUCUGAACCAGAAUGUGUCAUCCCUCUGGGCCUCAGCUAGAAUAGGCCAGCAUUGCCCAAAGGAAUUUACUCAGGGAACAACCCACCAGGGAGGAUUCUGGUACUUUAAGCCAGUUCUUUGUGCUUUUGAGAUAUAAAAGCAAGGUUGCCUAUGGUGAUCCAUACCUGUAAUCCUAGCCACUUGGGAGGCUAAAGCAGGAAGAUAGCAAGUCCCAGACCAGACUAGAUAACUUUGGAGACCUUUUCUCCAAAUAAAAAAUAAAAAGGUAGAGCACCACUGGGUUCAAUCCCCAAUACCAAAACCAAACAAAACCAAAGGGGCAAGAGGUACAAAGCCUCUGGGCAGAGAGACAGUGGGCUAUGGAGAACAGGACUGAAUUAGCUAAACACACAAAUGUGUAUACAACGACAGCUAUGAGAAGUGCUAAGCUUCUAACAGAGGCAUUUUCCUAGGGAGGCUAGAGAAAAACUUCCCAGAGCAGGUGGCCACUAAACUGAGAUUGCAGCAGGCAUGAGUGAAUACAGGGUGGGUGGCCUGGAGAGCCAGGCAGUGGCACCACAAGGACAGGAGUUUGUCCUUGGCUAUAGCUGAGAUGCUUGCAUGCACAGUGCAAACACUGAUGUGGGGAAUGUUAGGCCAUUGGGCUUUAAGGUCUUUUUUAGUCUAUAAUAUUCUGUGACUUCCAGAUCUGAGCCCCUGCAAGUGCUCUGAAAAAGAGCAGUUUGUUUAUUCAAAUCCUUUGUAAGUAUUAUUUCAGUGAAGUAUAAUAGCUCUUCAAAUGAGACCAUAUUUUGCUUAGUCAUCUCAUACAUUUUCUAGUUGAAUACUGAUAAACCCCUUCCUCCUUUACUGUCUGUUUUUGUAAGGACUUAUUAUAAGUCUUUUUCUAUCAGGAAUCCCUUCACCUGGGCUUGCAGCCAUCUGAGACAGGGCCCCUUCAAUUGUGCUCACACAGGAGCUGUGCUCGGCUCAUGGGAAGCCUCGUGCAUCCUGCCCAGCCAAAAGGUGGAAGUGAGCUGGGUGCUUAGGAGGCUGAGGCAGGAGGAUCACAAAGUCGAGACCAGCCUGGGAAACUUGGCAAAAUAAAAAUGGAUAGGGAAAUGACUCAGGGGUAAAGUACCCCUGGAUUUAAUGCCCAGUAUUAAAAAAAAAAAAAAAAUGGAAGUGCAUUUACCCAGAGGAUGCCCUUCAUCCUCCCAAGCUCUGUGGAUAACUUCAACCUCUGUUUACUUUGGUCACCCCUAGAUGAGAAGAACUUUCUGCCUCUGCCCUCACAAAUAGCAAGCAGCCAUGACAGGCUAUCCAUAGAACUCUCAUACCCAGAUGACAGUGUGGGGUGGCCUGUGAGUUUGGGGAGCUCAGUAAUAAUCCAGCUCGAUGUUACAUGUCAAUUCCUUCUUUCUGCAAAACCCCUAGGGGAGGUCCCUUGGAGCCUCUCAGUUGGUUAUUGAGAUACAGCCCUAGGAAGAGAGGAAAGCCAUAGCACAUUCAUUUUACUCUUCUGCAUUUCCUUCAGGGCCUCUCCCCUCCUGUGAUUCGAGGCUUCUCCUUCCUUUGUUGGAAUUAGGUGAUAGAGCCCAGGAUAUUCCCUUCUAAACCAAGUCCUUCUGUCCUUCUAGGAUGUGGCUAGCAGCUCUUAUUCAGAAUGAGGGAGCAGUUGUCAUCUGGUGUCCUUAACAUUCCAUGUACUGACAUUCUGAGGUCCUUGGCAAGGACAGU
rnacentral:lncRNA from 1 species